GAUCCUGGCUCAGAGCGAACGCUGGCGGCAUGCUUAACACAUGCAAGUCGCGCGGUCGGCUUCGGCCGGCAGCGGCGGACGGGUGAGUAGCGCGUAGGAACGUGUCCGGAGGUGGGGGACAACCCUGGGAAACCGGGGCUAAUACCGCAUGCGGCCCAUUGGCCAAAGCCGAAAGGCGCCUCCGGAGCGGCCUGCGUCCGAUUAGGUUGUUGGCGGGGUAACGGCCCACCAAGCCCGCGAUCGGUAGCUGGU
rnacentral:rRNA from 1 species